rnacentral:rRNA from 1 species
AUUGAACGCUGGCGGCAGGCCUAACACAUGCAAGUCGAACGAGUGGCGGACGGGUGAGUAAUGCGUGGGAACGUACCUUUUGGUUCGGAACAACACAGGGAAACUUGUGCUAAUACCGGCUACCGAAAGAUCGGCCCGCGUCUGAUUAGCUAGUUGGGAGGGUAAUGGCCUACCAAGGCGCCGAUCAGUAGCUGGUCUGAGAGGAUGAUCCGCCACAUUGGGACGGAGACACGGCCCAAACGCCUACGGGAGGCAGCAGUGGGGAAUAUUGGACAAUGGGGGCAACCCUGAGGGAGCCAUGCCGCGUGUAUGAAGAAGGCUUUCGGGUUGUAAAGUACUUUCAGCGGGGAGGCGUUACCCGGAGAAGAAGCACCGGCUAACUCCGUGCCAGCAGCCGCGGUAAUUC